ACUAUGUGGAGAUUGCAAGGAACAUCAUAGUAUUUCCAAAGGAACAAAAUAACAUGAAACUGUUGCCAUCGAUGAAUACACAACGUUACCUGCAGAAGUCUUGCAAACCGCGCAAGUUGGCAAAGUACAUAAUGAGAAGUACGAGCUUUUCUGUAGAAAACAUGAUUGUCCGUGCUGUAAGAAAUGUGUGAAAUCUCACAACGAUUGUAAAGGUUUAACCGACAUAAAUGAAGUCAUACUCAACAUCAAAACAUCUAACACCUUUAACGAGAUUGAACAAACCCUGCUAAUCGGAAAGAAAAUUUAAAAUCGUUAGAAAACAAGAAAAUGGAAAUUGAAGUAGAAAUUAAAAAAUAUAGGACCAAUUUAAAUCUACACCUCGAUACACUUCAGGAUAAUUUGAUGAAAGAUUUAAUGACCGUUUAACAAAAGGAAGGCAGAAAAUUAGAAAAAAUAUUGAUUACUUUGGGAAAAAAAGAAAAAGAGAUCAUUCAAUCACAGGCAAACGUUGCAAGUAUUAAACAGAAUGCGUUUGAACUUCAAACAUUUUUAAUCAUGAAAAAUAUCGAAAAAGAUAUUGCAGUCGAAGAAAAAAUUAUUCAAUCCCUUACAACAAGUGACACCAUGAAUCAAGUCAAUAUUUCAUGGCAACUUAACAAGUCUUUACAGCAAAUCACGGCCAGCGUACAGAGAUUUGGAGAAAUUAAUGUCCGUUCUGAAUAUUGUGAUUUUUCCAUUUUGAAACGGAAGGACAGACAAGCACAGAUAAUCAUAGCUGUUUCGACCAGAAAUAUCGACAACCUGACUCUUUCUUUACAGAAACGUAUCAAUACAACGGUGCCAGAUGUCCGAGGUUGUUCACUUCUCCCUGGUGGUAAGAUGUUUUUUUCCUGUCAUGAUCAGCAUAAAAUAAAAGUAUUAAAAGCUAACGGUUCAAAAAUUUCGAAAUAAAGAAAAUAGGUCAAACAUUUGAUGUGGUAUUUAUUGGUGAUGUCUCUGUCGCAGUAAAACCAGGACUAUCAGAUGAGAUUAAAAUAAUCGACUUUAAAAAGCACAAAUUUAAGAAAUCAAUAAAAGUGAAUUCAUAUAACGAUGGAGUAGUGUUUAAAGACGGAUGUUUGAUAUUUUGUGCAAGAGAGAAAGUGAUGAAGAGGAUAAGUUUGAGUAAUGAGUCCAUAACCAAUGUUAUCGAUAACAAACUGUCAACUUUGGCGUACGUAACAACAUUCGGCGACAAACUUUUCUACACAAACUAUACAGAUGACAGUGUUACUUGUUGUAAAUACCACGGUAAUAUACUGUGGACGUUCUGUGAUAAAAGUGUUCAGAAGUCACCAUUCGGUAUAUCUGUAGACCAUGACGGUAACGUGUUUGUAGUGGGACG
rnacentral:lncRNA from 1 species